rfam:Schistosoma mattheei strain Denwood, Zambia genome assembly, scaffold: SMTD_scaffold0001998
AUCCGGCUGACGAGCCCCAAACUGGACGGAACGCGCGUCCUGGAU